rnacentral:tRNA from 1 species
GCUACAACGCUAAAGCAUUCAGCUUACACCUGAAAGAUAUCUGCCAAUCACCAGAUCGUCUUGAAACCUGACUC